rnacentral:rRNA from 1 species
AAAUAUUUAAAGGUCGAACAGACCUAGAAAUUUAGCUGCUACACCAAAAUCUUAAUUUAAUCCAACAUCGAGGUCGCAAACUCCUAUAUCGAUAAGAACUCUCCAUAGAAAUUACG